CAGCAGCCGCGGUAAUACAGAGGGUGCAAGCGUUAAUCGGAAUUACUGGGCGUAAAGCGCGCGUAGGUGGUUUGUUAAGUUGGAUGUGAAAUCCCCGGGCUCAACCUGGGAACUGCAUCCAAAACUGGCAGGCUAGAGUAGGGCAGAGGGUGGUGGAAUUUCCUGUGUAGCGGUGAAAUGCGUAGAUAUAGGAAGGAACACCAGUGGCGAAGGCGACCACCUGGGCUCAUACUGACACUGAGGUGCGAAAGCGUGGGGAGCAAACAGGAUUAGAUACCCCUGUAGUCCCUGUCUCUUAUAC
rnacentral:rRNA from 1 species